rnacentral:rRNA from 1 species
GAUGAACGCUGGCGGCGUGCCUAAUACAUGCAAGUCGAGCGAACGGACGAGAAGCUUGCUUCUCUGAUGUUAGCGGCGGACGGGUGAGUAACACGUGGAUAACCUACCUAUAAGACUGGGAUAACUUCGGGAAACCGGAGCUAAUACCGGAUAAUAUUUUGAACCGCAUGGUUCAAAAGUGAAAGACGGUCUUGCUGUCACUUAUAGAUGGAUCCGCGCUGCAUUAGCGAGUUGGUAAGGUAACGGCUUACCAAGGCAACGAUGCAUAGCCGACCUGAGAGAGUGAUCGGCCACACUGGAACUGAGACACGGUCCAGACUCCUACGGGAGGCAGCAGUAGGGAAUCUUCCGCAAUGGGCGAAAGCCUGACGGAGCAACGCCGCGUGAGUGAUGAAGGUCUUCGGAUCGUAAAACUCUGUUAUUAGGGAAGAACAUAUGUGUAAGUAACUGUGCACAGCUUGACGGUACCUAAUCAGAAAGCCACGGCUAACUACGUG